UCUCUGAUCCCUCUAUUUAUAGCUCUUCCACUUUCCAACUAAAUUCUAGCUUCCUUCGUUGAAUUGCAAAAAAGAUAAAAGAAAAAUGAAAGGACAAGCUGGUAGCAGCGGAAAAGAAAAAGAAAAAGUAUGGAUAACUGUAUUUUCUUUGUUUCUUUGUUUCUAACAUGUUACCAACUAACUCUUCUCCUUUCCCUCUUUGAACUCUCAUUUGCAGGAAACAGAGGAAGAAACCCAUGCAGAGGUCCUGAUUGGACAAAGGCAGAGAGUUACUUUAGACAUCAUUCAUGCAGCCAACGCUGUGGACUUAUUUCAGGCAAAUAUGAACAAUUGGCAUGGACCUGUAGUGAUAUUGGAAAGUAACGAGAAAAACUACGACAUCAAGAUCAGUGGCCUGAAAGCAAUGUAUGAAGAUGUUACCUUUGAGUAGUAGCAUUAGAGGGGGAGUAGUAAGGUGUUAUUGACUUUAAGCGAAAGAACAAGUAGUUUUCUGCUCUAUGCAUUGGGGUGUGUGUGUCUAGUCUGUGUUUUUCUUUCCUAAUAACCGUGCUUGUGUCAGUAUAUAUGUAUGUAUGUAUGUAUGUAUGUUUCAUACAUGAGACUGAUUGUGCGUGUGUGUUCUUUUUUUUUCUCCUCGAUUAUAUGCACGCAUUUAAUAACUUAAUUCCU
rnacentral:lncRNA from 1 species